UACGUAGGGUGCGAGCGUUGUCCGGAAUUAUUGGGCGUAAAGGGCUCGUAGGCGGUCUGUCACGUCGGGAGUGAAAACUCGGGGCUUAACUCCGAGCCUGCUUCUGAUACGGGCAGACUAGAGGUAUGCAGGGGAGAAUGGAAUUCCUGGUGUAGCGGUGAAAUGCGCAGAUAUCUGGAGGAACACCGGUGGCGAAGGCGGCAUCCUGGACCGAGAUUGACGCUGAGGCGCGAAAGCCAGGGGAGCAAACGGG
rnacentral:rRNA from 1 species